rnacentral:rRNA from 1 species
UACGGAGGGGGUUAGCGUUGUUCGGAAUUACUGGGCGUAAAGCGCGCGUAGGCGGACCAGAAAGUUGGGGGUGAAAUCCCGGGGCUCAACCCCGGAACGGCCUCCAAAACUCCUGGUCUUGAGUUCGAGAGAGGUGAGUGGAAUUCCGAGUGUAGAGGUGAAAUUUGUAGAUAUUCGGAGGAACACCAGUGGCGAAGGCGGCUCACUGGCUCGAUACUGACGCUGAGGUGCGAAAGUGUGGGGAGCAAACAGG